AAGAUUUUAGGUUAAUUUAAACCUCCAGCCUUCAAAGCUGAAAUUAGAAAUAAAUUCUAAAUCUUA
rnacentral:tRNA from 1 species